CGCGAGUACUGGUCCGGCUGGAGCUUUCCUUCUGGGGAACCUCAUGGCCUUCACUGGCUGUGGGGGGAACCAGGACUUUUACUGUGAAAAAAUUAGAGUGUUCAAAGCAGGCCUUUGCUCGAAUACAUUAGCAUGGAAUAAUAGAAUAGGACGUGCGGUUCUAUUUUGUUGGUUUCUAGGACCGCCGUAAUGAUUAAUAGGGAUAGUCGGGGGCGUCAGUAUUCAGCUGUCAGAGGUGAAAUUCUUGGAUUUGCUGAAGACUAACUACUGCGAAAGCAUUCGCCAAGGAUGUUUUCAUUAAUCAGGGAACGAAAGUUAGGGGAUCGAAGACGAUCAGAUACCGUCGUAGUCUUAACCAUAAACUAUGCCGACUAGGGAUCGGACGGGAUUCUAUUAUGACCCGUUCGGCACCUUACGAGAAAUCAAAGUUUUUGGGUUCUGGGGGGAGUAUGGUCGCAAGGCUGAAACUUAAAGAAAUUGACGGAAGGGCACCACAAGGCGUGGAGCCUGCGGCUUAAUUUGACUCAACACGGGGAAACUCACCAGGUCCAGACAAAAUAAGGAUUGACAGAUUGAGAGCUCUUUCUUGAUCUUUUGGAUGGUGGUGCAUGGCCGUUCUUAGUUGGUGGAGUGAUUUGUCUGCUUAAUUGCGAUAACGAACGAGACCUCGGCCCUUAAAUAGCCCGGUCCGCAUUUGCGGGCCGCUGGCUUCUUAGGGGGACUAUCGGCUCAAGCCGAUGGAAGUGCGCGGCAAUAACAGGUCUGUGAUGCC
rnacentral:rRNA from 1 species